AUUGAACGCUGGCGGCAGGCCUAACACAUGCAAGUCGAACGGUAACAGGAAGAAGCUUGCUUCUUUGCUGACGAGUGGCGGACGGGUGAGUAAUGUCUGUGAAACUGCCUGAUGGAUGGGGAUAACUACUGGAAACGGUAGCUAAUACCGCAUAAUGUCGCAAGACCAAAGAGGGGGACCUUCGGGCCUCUUGCCAUCGGCUGUGCCCAGAUGGGAUUAGCUAGUAGGUGGGGUAACGGCUCACCUAGGCGACGAUCCCUAGCUGGUCUGAGAGGAUGACCAGCCACACUGGAACUGAGACACGGUCCAGACUCCUACGGGAGGCAGCAGUGGGGAAUAUUGCACAAUGGGCGCAAGCCUGAUGCAGCUAUGCCGCGUGUAUGAAGAAGGCCUUCGGGUUGUAAAGUACUUUCAGCGGGGAGGAAGGGAGUAAAGUUAAUACCUUUGCUCAUUGACGUUACCCGCAGAAGAAGCACCGGCUAACUACGUG
rnacentral:rRNA from 1 species